CCCCAAAUCCGCCAUGGCAACCGCGAGAGCUCGACCAGAUUGGUGAAAUCCGGCAGCGGCAGCCUAGGGGUGGGACGCGGCUUCGGCGGCGGCCCGGGGCUGAGCUGGUGGUGGCGCGGACCGGGGGUUGGGGUUGGAUGUGGCAGCGGUGACGGAUUCGGGGUUGGAGGGGAGCAACGAGAUUUUACUCGGCCGCCUCGAGUCCGAGUAUUUUUACUCCUCCGCGGGCCGAGUACUAAACUUUUUACUCCUUUAACCGGUCUAAGGCCAGAGAUGCCCUGAGUUAUGCAGGUCCAUUUCGGCCCACCCCAGCCCACCCCAGCCCGCGGAAAGAGUUCCAACUCGCCGGUGAAGAUGGCGGCGCGGCCGACGGCAGCAGCGCGGUCGCCGUCCGGCCCAGAGCAUCACUAUACGAUGUUAGUCGCUUGCUAGAAACCCGGGUUAGCAGCUGUGCAGACACUGCACCGGCGAUAGCAACUAAUGGUAGUGACGUUAGCAUGACAAGAGUCAGGAGCCAGCCUUUUGUGAAUGCUAUGAUAAAACCCCCAAAGAAGGCAGAUAUGGCUUGUACAAGCUUCCCUCCCUGUAAAUCAGAAUGCAGGAAUGUCAACACUUGUAGCGCUGGAUGGGCUGCAUAGAAUGUUUGAAGUAUGAAAUACACUUAGGUGAGUAACACAAAAGCUUAUGUAGUAGCAAUAGAAAUAUUGAUGCUUGUCAUUGACUUGCACCUGCAGAUCUGCGCACACUUGCAGUGUGAUGAAAAAUAUUAUGUUUCCUUAUUUAGUACGUACUACAGAGGAAGUAUUACCUUCUCACCAAGAGCAUCUUGAAUUAUGACCGUAUCGCUAGACAUUCUAGAAACUGCUUCACCAGUUGUCAUUUCUAUGUCGAAAAAUGCAAUAUCUUGCCUCAGAACUGAUUUCAGGUACAAAGAACGGAUGCGGGCUGACUGCCUUUCUCCUGACAUUGUCCAGCAUGACAUCUCUGGAAGAUAAUGAAGGGUAUAGUUGUUAGCGAUGAUGCAGAGACCGAGGGUUAAACUUCCUCUUCGAAAAAGAAAAAGAAAAACAAUCCUCUGUGGUUAAGUCUAUUUGAAAGUGUGACAGGAAACAUGUAUUCCAAUAAUAGAAUGGGAACUGCACUUACGAAGAAAGGAAGCAACUGCUAUCCCAAUGCCCAAAUAUACGAAGUUGAGAACAACCUGGAGAUCAAAAGAACAUUCUCUGUUAACUCGUCUAGCCAAUCUUCAGGUUAAGUGAUCUGAUCACCGUAAGCUGCAGCGCACCUUGGUGACAGCGGGGAGGACGGUGCUGGUGGUGCUCUCCCCGAAGGAGUUGAUGGCGUCUCCAAAGACGACCAACAUGAGGGACCCCGCCACGCCGUUGCCCACCGCCCCCAGCGAGCCGACCACCAUGAGCGGCACGUCGAGGCUGUCGGCGUACCUGAACAUGCCGAGCAACGACACCUUCUUCUCCGUCUGGUCAUCUUUUUCUUGCUCGCCGCCGUGGCGUGCUCCUUCUCCGCUGCGAGCUUCUGCUGUCGCGUCCAUUUCCUGGCAGCUACAGCUUGCGCUGCUGGUGUGCUCGACGAGCCCAGCCUGCACCGUGCCGUGUGUAGUUCCUGUCCCUGGAGGUGGAGGAGGCACUGUAUAUAAGCAUUUCGCCGGCAGCCCAGAGCCCUCAGAGUGCUUUGACUCUUCUUGGGCUGAUUGGGUGCUCCGAAGCAGAGGAAGGGCCCGGGAAAGUUUGCCAUGGAAAAGUACUUUUGUGCGCACGGAUUUAUGGAUUCUUGCAUGUGGGUUUGCACGGAUUUAUCGUUGGCAUGUGGUGAUUUGCUGUGACAAUUCAAGAUUCACAGCCUACUUUUGUGCGCAGCGUCAGCGUAGUCACUAGUUGGUCAAAUGGAUUGACCAGUAUUGUUUCUAGAAAGGAAAAAAAGGUGCGCUAAGAUGGUCUCUGGUGGUCACCGGCACUUGUUUCUUUUUUUUAAGUUGACCAAUGUUUGUUUCUAGAAAGGAAACAAGGUGUCGACAGGUCGUAAGCUGAUACGGCCAUGGAAUGUGGAUA